UACGUAGGGUGCGAGCGUUGUCCGGAAUUAUUGGGCGUAAAGAGCUCGUAGGCGGUGUGUCACGUCGGCCGUGAAAACCUGCAGCUUAACUGUGGGCGUGCGGUCGAUACGGGCAUCACUGGAGUUCGGCAGGGGAGACUGGAAUUCCUGGUGUAGCGGUGAAAUGCGCAGAUAUCAGGAGGAACACCGGUGGCGAAGGCGGUUCUCUGGGCAUUACCUGACGCUGAGGAGCGAAAGUGUGGGGAGCGAACAGG
rnacentral:rRNA from 1 species